rnacentral:rRNA from 1 species
ACCUCUAGCAUUACCAGUAUUAGUCGCCUGUUUUACAAAAACAUGGUCUUUUGUUUAUAUAAAAGAUCUGGCCUGCCCAAUGAUUUUUUUAAUGGCUGCAGUAUUUUGACUGUACAAAGGUAGCAUAAUCAUUUGUCUCUUAAUUGGAGUCUGGAAUGAAUGGUUGGAUGAAAGGUUUACUUUCUUUAUUUUAAAUAUAAAAUUUAAUUUUUGAAUCAGAAAGUUUAGAUAUUAAUAUAGGACGAGAAGACCCUAUAGAACUUUAUUUAUAAGAAAUAUUUAUUAAUUUGUAAAUUAUGAAUAUAUAUUUUUAUAUAAAUUUUAUUGGGGUGAUAAAAAAAAUUUUUUAACUUUUUUUAUUUUUAUCAUUUAUGUAUGUAUUUUUGAUCCUUUAAUAAGGAAUAAAAGAAUAAGUUACCUUAGGGAUAACAGCGUUAUUAUUUUAGAGAGUUCAUAUUGAUAAAAUAGUUUGCCACCCCUAUUUUGGAUUCAAAUUAGCCUCAGGGGCAGAAUAUUGAUGGCUAAAUCUGUUCGACUUUUAAAUUUUUACAUGAUC